CGGGGGGGGGCAAGCGUUGUUCGGAAUUACUGGGCGUAAAGGGCUCGUAGGCGGCCAACUAAGUCAGACGUGAAAUCCCUCGGCUUAACCGGGGAACUGCGUCUGAUACUGGAUGGCUUGAGAUUGGGAGAGGGAUGCGGAAUUCCAGGUGUAGCGGUGAAAUGCGUAGAUAUCUGGAGGAACACCGGUGGCGAAGGCGGCAUCCUGGACCAACACUGACGCUGAGGAGCGAAAGCCAGGGGAGCAAACGGGAUUAGAUACCCCGGUAGUCCUGGCCCUAAACGAUGAAUGCUUGGUGUGGCGGGUAUCGAUCCCUGCCGUGCCGAAGCUAACGCAUUAAGCAUUCCGCCUGGGGAGUACGGUCGCAAGGCUG
rnacentral:rRNA from 1 species